rnacentral:misc_RNA from 1 species
GAUGAAGAACGUAGCGAAAUGCGAUAAGUAAUGUGAAUUGCAGAAUUCAGUGAAUCAUCGAAUCUUUGAACGCACAUUGCGCCCACCAGUAUUCUGGCGGGCAUGCCUGUUCGAGCGUCAUUUCAACCCUCAAGCCCCCGGGCUUGGUGUUGGGGAUCGGCGUGCCCUCGCGGCGCGCCGUCCCCUAAAUCUAGUGGCGGUCUCGCUGUAGCUUCCUCUGCGUAGUAGCAACACUCGCACUGGAUCGCAGCGCGGCCACGCCGUUAAACCCCCCACUUCUGAAAGUUUGACCUCGGAUCAGGUAGGAAUACCCGCUGAACUUAAGCAUAUCAAUAAGCGAGGA